GAUGAACGCUGGCGGCGUGCCUAAUACAUGCAAGUCGAGCGAACAGACGAGGAGCUUGCUCCUCUGACGUUAGCGGCGGACGGGUGAGUAACACGUGGAUAACCUACCUAUAAGACUGGGAUAACUUCGGGAAACCGGAGGUAAUACCGGAUAAUAUAUUGAACCGCAUGGUUCAAUAGUGAAAGACGGUUUUGCUGUCACUUAUAGAUGGAUCCGCGCCGCAUUAGCUAGUUGGUAAGGUAACGGCUUACCAAGGCAACGAUGCGUAGCCGACCUGAGAGGGUGAUCGGCCACACUGGAACUGAGACACGGUCCAGACUCCUACGGGAGGCAGCAGUAGGGAAUCUUCCGCAAAGGGCGAAAGCCUGACGGAGCAACGCCGCGUGAGUGAUGAAGGUCUUCGGAUCGUAAAACUCUGUUAUUAGGGAAGAACAAAUGUGUAAGUAACUAUGCACGUCUUGACGGUACCUAAUCAGAAAGCCACGGCUAACUACGUG
rnacentral:rRNA from 1 species